rnacentral:rRNA from 1 species
CCCUUAGAUGUUCUGGGCCGCACACGCGCUACACUGAAGGAGGCAGCGUGUACUCCUGGAUCGAAAGAUUUGGGUAACCCGCGAAUCUCCUUCGUGCUAGGGAUUGAGGUUUGCAAUUAUCCUUCAUGAACGAGGAAUUCCCAGUAAGUGCAAGUCAUAAGCUUGCGCUGACUACGUCCCUGCCCUUUGUACACACCGCCCGUCGCUACUACCGAUUGAAUGAUUUAGUGAGGACUUCGGACUGGGACCGAUGCGGCUUUCGGGCUGCGUCGGUAUUCUGGAAAGAUGUCCAAACUGUAUCAUUUAGAGGAAGUAAAAGNCGUAACA